rnacentral:rRNA from 1 species
UACAGAGGUCCCAAGCGUUGUUCGGAUUUACUGGGCGUAAAGGGAGCGUAGGUGGCAAAUUAAGUCUGACGUGAAAGCUCUGAGCUUAACUCAGAAAUGGCGUUAGAUACUAGUUUGCUUGAGGAUUGGAGGGGAGAUUGGAAUUCUCGGUGUAGCAGUGAAAUGCGUAGAUAUCGAGAGGAACACCAGUGGCGAAGGCGAAUCUCUGGACAACUCCUGACACUGAUGCUCGAAAGCUAGGGGAGCAAACGGG